GAUGAAGAACGUAGCGAAAUGCGAUACUUGGUGUGAAUUGCAGAAUCCCGCGAAUCAUCGAGUUUUUGAACGCAAGUUGCGCCCGAAGCCAUUCGGCCGAGGGCACGUCUGCCUGGGUGUCACGCAUCGUUGCCCCCCCCAAACUUCGGUUCGGGCGGGGCAGAAGUUGGCCUCCCGUGCGUGCCUGCGCGUGCGGUUAGCCCAAAAGCGAGUCCUCGGCGACGAGCGCCACGGAAAUCGGUGGUUUUUUUGCCCUCGUUCCUCGUCGUGCGUGCCCCGUCGCCCGAACGCGCUCUUGCGACCUUCACGCGUCGCCUCGGUGGCGCUCCCAACGCGACCCCAGGUCAGGCGGGACUACCCGCUGAGUUUAAGCAUAUCAAUAAGCGGAGGA
rnacentral:misc_RNA from 1 species